rnacentral:rRNA from 1 species
ACAUGACUCUCGGCAACGGAUGUCUCGGCUCUCGCAUCGAUGAAGAACGUAGCGAAAUGCGAUACCUGGUGUGAAUUGMAGAAUCCCGCGAACCAUCGAGUCUUUGAACGCAAGUUGCGCCCGAGCCAUUCGGCCGAGGGCACGCCUGCCUGGGCGUCACGC